AUUCUGAAUUCGACGUGCGAGAAGUGUACACGAUAUCUAACAAAAGGUGCAGUGUUUACCUGGUAUUCUGGCAGAAGCAACCAAUGACGAAUAUUGAAGCCAUCUGUUGGCAUCAUGCAUCCCACUAUGCAGUUACCAAGAAAGGCCAGAAAAAUGACAUCAUUUCUAUACCACCGUCCGUCAAAAGAUGCGAAUCACAACCUUAUUCCGAUACAAACAAUGUACAAAAUGGCUUGUAAAGUAUACUCGGCAAAUGUGCAGCCAUCUGUGUCUUUUUUGUUUAAAAUUCAUCCCGUUAUUCAAAUACAAUGUACGAUUGUCUGUCAUUGUUGGAAGACAGACGCUGGUUAAUUAUAAUAGUUAACUAGAAUAAUUUAUUUACUUACAAGAAAUACACGAAUAUUUAAAUGGAAA